CACAUCCUGACGAGCAUACUCUCUCUCUACACUUCUCGCGGCGGCCGCCGAUCAGAUCCGGUGCUUCUCGCGGCGAGGCGAUGUCGUCGUCGGCGUGGUGGGCGCACGGCCGAAUCCGCAUCCUCCUCCCUGCCCUCUUCCUCGCCCCCGCGCUCUUCUUCCUCCUGUCUCCGCCCUCCUCCCCACCCUUCUUCACCGCCCCCGCAGCCAGGGAGGAGUCGCGGUCGGGGUCGCGGGUCAUAUGGGCGCAGCGGCGGGUGGUGGAGUGGCGGCCGUGCGGGUGGUGGCGGGCGGCAAUGCCGGCUCCGUCGAGGAGGAAUGGAUACAUCCGGAUCGACUGCUACGGCGGGCUCAACCAGCUGCGACGUGAUCUAUGUGAUGGAAUCGCCGUUGCGCGCCUUCUGAAUGCAACAAUGGUUCUGCCCAAGUUUGAGGUUGCUGCCUACUGGAAUGAGUCUAGUGGUUUCGCAGACGUUUUUGAUGUUGAUUACUUCAUUCAGCAAACUAGAGGUUAUGUGGAAGUUGUGAAGGACAUGCCUGAACAGAUAGCAUCAAAAGAGCCCUUCAAGGUUGAUUGCAGCAAACGAAAGGGGCAUUUUGAUUACGUGGAAACAGUACUUCCAGCUCUGUUGGAGCAUCAGUAUAUUUCACUGACACCUGCCAUGAGCCAAAGAAGAGAUAGAAAUCCUUUCUAUGCAAAAGCUUCUUACUGCCAAGGCUGCUACAAUGCACUCCGCUUAAAUAAGAAUGUGGAAACGAAAGCUAUUGAGCUUCUUGAGGACAUACCAAAACCUUUCUUGUCUCUCCACCUGAGAUUUGAACCAGAUAUGGUUGCCUACUCUCGAUGUGUAUACACCGGUCUGUCUUCCAAAUCACUCGGUGCAAUUGAAGCUGCACGUGGGGAGGACAGGAAGGCAUUGACUGGUGAGGCUGCCCGUCUGUGGAGGAACCGUGGCAAGUGUCCUCUAACACCAAGUGAAACAGCAUUUAUACUAAAAGCAUUAGGUAUUCCCACAGACACAAACAUUUAUUUAGCUGCUGGCGAUGGGUUAAUGGAACUUGAGGGCUUCACUUCAAUAUACAAAAAUAUAUACACUAAAUCAUCUCUCCUAACUCAUGAAGACUUUGAGAAGAUGCAUGGCAAUACAAAAGCCGCUCUCGAUUACUAUGUUUCUGUCAAUAGUGAGGCUUAUGUUGCCACAUUCUUUGGAAAUAUGGAUAAGAUGGUAACUGCAAUGAGAACAAUGCAAGGGCACCAGAAGACUCUGGUCUUGAGUAGGAGGGCCUAUGCAAACUACACAACUGUUGGACUGUCAGGGGAGCAACUAGCUAUGGCCAUGUGGGAUGCCCAUCGAGAGGAAUAUAUCAUGGGGAGAGGAUCAGCCCUGCCUGAGCAGUGCUUCUGUGAAUUCAAAUUGUAACACAACGGGCACUUCAUUUGAUUAUUAGCAAUUAAUAUAUGACUUCAGAUGUGUAAACAUGGAGAUUUUUAGGUCGGUGACACCAAUGCUGAGGAUACAAGAAACUGUUUUUGAUGAGAUGGGCUUUCACAAUCAGCAUGGUGGCCUGGACUCUGUGGAGGGAAGAUGGCUCUCAUACAGAUAUGCAUCAUGGCCUGGCCUUCUGCAUCUCCCGCAACUGUUUUCAACUUCUUGGACUUUCAAGUCAAUUAGUUAACCUGAGAAGGAAGCCUCGCAGAAACUUCCCAGAUCUUUUCUUGUACUUGUUUUAGUCAUAUAAAAACUCAGAAGAUGCAUACGCCCAGUAUGAAAGCUUAUCUUCGCUCCAAUCAGAAAUUAUUAACAAAGGAAAUGUUGAUUUGAAGAUAGUUACUUAACAUAAGUUGGGCAAAUUGCCAAUAUUCUUUUGAAGGAAAUCAAGAGGUCAACUUAGGUACGUUAGCUUGCUAUGGACCUCUAAUCUACUUGCGAACUAGCAUAAUUGUAUGGUCUGAAUUGAUAAAGCGUCAUACUGUAUGUCCUCCACACCUCCAUUGUCAAUUUCUGCACUAUCAUACUUGCUAGCUUUUCCUUCCGUCGAAAAAAAUCUUCAUUUUUAGCCGAUAUUGUAUAAAUCAAUACAAAGCCAUAGAGAUUAUAAUGGCUUUACCUUUUUAAAUCCUAAUGCAUGUGUUCUCUAGUUUUUCAAAUUGUAAUGUAUUUGUCUUAUACUUUACCAAAUUUCAA